AAUGGUUAGUCUGAAUGAUUAGCUAACCAUUCAGACAGUUAAAAAUUGUCUUAACCAAAACCAAAUGGUUAGCAAAAAUUGCUAACCAUGUCUGAAUGGUUAGCGUUAGCUAACUGUUGGUUUGAGACUUGCAAAGUCCUUCAUUUCUGAUUUUGCUGCAUGUUAUUGGGUUUGUGGGGUCCAGUAACCCGGUGGGUCGAUUUCAAUCCCAGCAGCUGGUUGUAACACACUUAUUUUGUGUUUUUACCUUCAGAAUCUGCACAGUUUAUCAGGAUGUUAUCUGCCUAAAAAUGUAAUGCUACAACCAGCUGGAGUCCUGUAAGUAAUACACAUAUAAAGACCAACAAAACUCUAAACCUGUGGAGCUUGUGUUUGUAUGUUCACACAGUCGUGUUACUGUGAUUCUGUGCAGGAAUGGAGAAAUCUUAUACAAGGCUAUCCAGACUCCUCUGAAUGUCAACGUCUCAAAGUACCUUUUUUUAUAAAUGGAUUCCUUCUAGUUGCUUUCUUAUCUCUUGUUGUGUCUCAGCUGAUCAGGUUUCUGUGUUCUUACUUUCAUUUCUCUCGCUGCUGUACCUCACCACAGACGGGUCAGAGACAAGCGGGACGUUGGCCGACCGUACGUUAAAAAGCCACCAAACGCCUUCAUCCUUUUCCUGAAGGAGAUUAGACCAAAGGUGGUGUCUGAGCUCAAUAUCAGCGGAAGUGCUAUGGUGAAUAGAGUUGUGGGAGAAAUGUGGAACUGUUUGCCAGUCGAGGUGAAGGCCAAAUAUUUCGAGAAGGCCAGACUGGAACAAAAGCUCCACCAGCAGCAACACCCUGGUUGGUCCGCCAGUGAUAACUAUCGCAAGAAGAGGAAAGGGGUGAAAAAUAAGACCUCAGAAAGCAGCAACAGCAGCAGCAACAGCAGCAGCAGCAGUACAGCCUGUAAGACUGAUUUCUGUUCAUCCCUGCAUGUGUUCAUACAAUGAAAACAUGAAAUAUGCUCAAAAUGAGUCACUUUGGAUAACAUGACUGUCAGUUCUGUGGAGUUUAAAUCAAUGCAUCUAAUUAAACUCCUGCCUCUUGAACAUUUUCCAGCUUUCUCGCAAACACAACCCUCAGCUUAUCUCAUUGAAAUUUUUUCAUUUGCACACUUAGUUCUGACGGCCCUUGAAAACUCAGGUUUAACUCUUAAGCACGAACUGUUCAGUCCACAAAUCAAGCCUUUGCGGAAGAGUGACAAGAAGAAAGCCGCCGUUGAAAGAAAUUCACGAGGAAUGCCGUUUACAUUUUGCCACCAGCCAUGUGCAGGAAACGACAGACGUGCGCUGGUCGAAUGUGACCAACAUUUUCAAUACUACACGCAUAAAACCAUUGGUGAAGAAAAACGUAGAGGUUUCCUCUAGCAAGAUGGAUGGAGUUAAACUCAGGGACGUCCUGGAAGAAAACAUGUCAAAACAAUUGAGUCUGGAGCUGAGGUUAAUCUUUCAGCAGGACAACAGAACUAGUCAAAGUCCAGACCUGCAUAAAAUUUAGAAUCUGUGGCAAGACUAGCUGUUUUUUAAACAGUGAAAAAAAAUUCAGUCUGUAUCUAUAGUUUCACUUGAAAAGUGCUUCCACAAAAUGUUUUCAUACAGAGGCUAAAUAGAAAUGAACACUAUA